rnacentral:ncRNA from 25 species
UAAAAAAAUAGAAUUAAGUGUUGAUUUUACAGAUAUCCGGAGAUAGCUGUAAGAAUCGGUGAAAAGGGAAACAGGUGAGAAUACUGUGCGGUGCCGCCGCUGUGAGCGCAUAGAAGCAGUUUUGCUUCACUGCAUUUCAUACAGGAAUGUGGGAAGGAGCAGAACAAUAUUGCUGCGCGAAGCCAGAAGACCUGCUUAGUUCUUUUUUGCAUCC